rnacentral:rRNA from 1 species
CACCGGAAAAAGAGGAGUGGCGAACGGGUGAGUAACACGUGGGUAACCUGCCCAUCAGAAGGGGAUAACACUUGGAAACAGGUGCUAAUACCGUAUAACAAUCAAAACCGCAUGGUUUUGAUUUGAAAGGCGCUUUCGGGUGUCGCUGAUGGAUGGACCCGCGGUGCAUUAGCUAGUUGGUGAGGUAACGGCUCACCAAGGCCACGAUGCAUAGCCGACCUGAGAGGGUGAUCGGCCACAUUGGGACUGAGACACGGCCCAAACUCCUACGGGAGGCAGCAGUAGGGAAUCUUCGGCAAUGGACGAAAGUCUGACCGAGCAACGCCGCGUGAGUGAAGAAGGUUUUCGGAUCGUAAAACUCUGUUGUUAGAGAAGAACAAGGAUGAGAGUAACUGUUCAUCCCUUGACGGUAUCUAACCAGAAAGCCACGGCUAACUACGUGCCAGCAGCCGCGGUAAUACGUAGGUGGCAAGCGUUGUCCGGAUUUAUUGGGCGUAAAGCGAGCGCAGGCGGUUUCUUAAGUCUGAUGUG